AGGAUGAGGAAUGGCCAGGGCCUGGAUGUCCUCGUGUUGGGAAGAGCGGAACGCGGAGCUCAGUAAGUCCCACUUGGCGGCAGAGACUUGUGAGUGAUCAGCAGCCCUCGGGGGAGAAGUGUGAUCCUGUUUACCUACAGCCAUAACUUCAUCACUGAAGACAAUUUUAAGCUUCCUAGGAAAGUUAAUUAAAAGAAAUCUGGAAACCCCAGUUUUCACUUUGUCUGGUCACCCUGGCCCUCCUUCAAUGACUGCAGACAGGACAGCAGCUGUGACCAAGGAUAGGCAGGAAGGAAGCAACCUCUGGUGUCGGAUGGGGACACAACCAGAGCCUGGACCUUCUGCUGCCAUGCUGUGGAUUGAGCGUUUCAUUCACACAAAUGCACAUUUCCUGGCAGUGCUGGGGCUGGCCUGGAAUCCAGACCUGGUCUGCUCAAGAGCAAGGUCGAUUUGUGGACUGCUCUCCUGGAAGAUGUUAUUAGGACAAGGCAUGGAGUUGUAUGUGUAAAACAGAUCAAGAUGAUUUUCUCAACAUUGCACCCAAGCAAGUGCUGAGAAACAGGUUGGUGCUUGCCUGCUCAAAAGGUUGGGAAAUCUUGCUCAGCUGGGACUAGACUGCAUGCUUUCACAAGAAGGAUGAUGAGAAGCUGCAAAACUCUGGGCUGAGGACUCCCCCUUCCAAAGCUGCCCCUCACACAUCAGACACAAGGAGUGUGUGACACACUGCCAGCAGAACCACUACCUCAGCAGCUUCCGCUGACCAGCUCCAAGCAACGUUUCCUGUGUUGGUGCCCAGGAGGGCUGUGGGGCUGCAGUGGUCUCAGGUCCCUGAGACAAUCCAGAGAGAAAUCUUCUGCAUCUUCCCCAUGGCAUUGAAGGCAAAAAUUCAUUUAUUGCUCAAGGUGUUGCCUGUCAGAGCAUGUCUGAGUCACCACUGAGGAUGCAGAACCAUCUGAUGGGAAAUGAGAAAGAAGAUCCUAAUUUUAAAUAUCCAUUGCCCCUGCUUCCUGUGCAGCAGUAAGUGAGGAAUGUGUGUUCUCCUCUGUUUGUUGCUGGCUUGUGUUUCACUGUAUCUGGUAUUUAGAGUUUCUUCAUUGUGAUGGCUCAUGGAGACUUGUCAUAAGCUGUUCCUUGUCUCUCUCCAAGCAUGAAAAUCAAGUUUUGGGGGUUGUGCUUAGAAUCAGAUCGUAUCAGUAGCUGUUGGCAGGAAUUCACAGAGAUGCCAAAGAGAGCUUUACUUUUUCCCCAGUUCCCUACCACUCUUUCCCAUUGGUACCAGCUGGUACAGUGCAUUUGUCUUGGAUUUUUUCAGUUUACUCAAUACCUCCAACAUCCCUUGCUGUUUUUAGGAGAUGAGGAGGCUGACCAGCACUUAAUAAGUGCUUACCAUCUUAAACAUGGUCUUAAUGUUAUACCUGGCUUAUAUGUGUAAGAGAUAGUUGUGAUUCUUAUGCUGCUGGGGUACCUUCUCUGUGCUUUUUCUGAUUUGGAGCCCAACAUGAGGCUGUCUCAACCUGCAUAUUCAGGUAUGGGUACUGAGGACAGAAAUUACAUCCACUUUUUCAAACUCUCUCCUCACACUUCUAUUUAUUUCAGUUUGCUCCUUUCUCUUUUGCAAAUGGCAGAUAAGUCUUGUCAGUGUUUUUUUGGCUUUGCAGCGAUUUCUUUUCUUUUCUAUCUCCAGUAAUGUGCAAAUCUAAUGGUUUGCUAUUUCUGCUAAAUGUAUUUAUUUCCAAGCUCUCUAAUUCUUGUGCUUUUUUUUGUUGGGUGAGAGAAGAGACAAAUUUCCAGCAGUCAAAAAAUAAACCAUCCGCAGUUCAAGAAAAAAUUGAACCCUUUCUAAUCAUUGCUAUAAAAAGUAAUUGUUGCAUGUGGGUUCCUUGUCAAGAUUGGAAGGCUGACCAGUAGGUCCCCGAGAAGCCUCUAGUGAUGUGUCUGCUGGAUUGGAGGUGUAUCACAGGUGAGCAGAACAGUAACUACAUGAGCCCUUAAAGUGGAGUGAAUGCAGAUGACACUUUUAUUCAUGCUCAGCCAGAUUGCUUGGUAUUGUAUCCUUUCUGAAGGAAAGUGAAAAAUGACACUCUGGCAACAGGCCACUGACUGCACAGCAACUUGGCGUGGGUCUCCUGUUUGUCUCAGCCUGAGAUGAACAUCACCAGAGAUGCCAGACUGCUAGCCACAAGCUGAGAGUGUUAGAGAAUGUCUUCCUUUAAUCACAUCUCUGCCAUUUUUAGAGAAAAAUACAUGAAGGAGGAGGGACAUUUCCUGUCUGUUUGGAUCCUUGGUGGCACCAGUGGUAGUGGUUUUAUCUCCCUUUGCAUAAGCUCUCCUAGCUAAGACUAAUUGGUAAGCUCAGUGCAGUUUAUCUAGCCCCAGAUAUGAAUUAUUUUUCAAAGCUUCUCAUUUUUUUGCUUCCCAUUUUCCUUUUAUUUUAUUGUAUUUUAAGGGGAGUUUUUGAAAGCCCUCAAGGGAUUAGGAAGACAAAACUGUUCGACUUCCAGUUGCAUCUGAGCCACCGUAGCUAUUGCAGUGGGCACCAACGUGGCCAGAACCACCUUGGGACGUUUCAUAUGGAAACUCCAUGGUUUGUAACUGUGAGCUUUCACGAGAUGACUGGGUACACCAUGAAUGUAACUCACAGCUCAGUCUGGCACUGUGUUGUAACUGAGGUCUUGGUAUGAAAACCUGUGUGGCCACAGGGGAUUUUCAUCAUUAUACAAUAAUCCACAUCAUAAAUAAUCUUUCCAGGCUCCUUCUUGAAUCCUUCUAUGAAAAACAGUUUAAAGAGAGAAACUGGAGGAAGAUUUUCCUCUUCAAAGAACAUUUAAACUAUUAAUUUUGUAGGAAGCCUGGAUAUUAUACAAUUUCAAUGUUUUUUAUUUCAUCCAAGCAAUGGCACAAUAAGAUAUACAACAGCCGCCACUGUGGACUAGGAAACAUUCGACUGAAAAACUGGAGUUUAUGUUCUUCCCAUUGGAACUGGCUGCUAUCUGUGCCUGCCUCUAUGGGGUGGGUAUUUCCCUGACUAAAUAGUUGUGUUUUUCUGAAGUUAGGGCAGUAUCUUUGCUUUCAGCAUUGAUGCAGCAUGACAUGUACAGUAGGACCUGUCAUAAUCCAUGAAGUCAGUUCUGUUUCAAUGUUAAUAAGUCCUUAAUCAAGCCAUUUGUUUCCUCCAGGAUGUCACAUUUAGCAGCUGAUUGUGAAAUGCUUGAGAACAGGAAUUAUAGGAACAUUAUUUAAUGCUAAGUGUUAUCCACAUCAUAUCUGAAGCUUGAACAUGCCAGGAAAACAUCCUUCAUAUACUGCAAAUAAUCUAUCCGAGCUUUCAGGAUCAAUCAUGAAUUGGCUGGGUAUGUACACCAUUUCUCUUUGUGUGGCAUAAUAUUAUACACCAUAUUCAGUAACACAUUGCUUAUCUGUUACCUAUUUUCUAUGGCUGGUGCUUUUGCUUUAUAUAAUGAUUCUGCACAGCGUUUGACCAAUCACUUUAAAUCAAGAUUGGCACUUUAAAUCCAACAGAAAAAAAACUGAAAUUUAAAACCAGUAUCCCUCAUGCUAGUCUGUUUGUGCUAUAUAAGGAGAAAGAAGAUGUUCAAGCCAAGCAGCUGCUGGUGGGUUUAAGUGGGAAGCUAUCCAGAGAGACCAAGUUUAUGAUUUUCAUCUCCUGCUCUUGAUGCUGUCUUCAAGAGGAACAGAAUUAAGGGCUAAAAUCGUACCUUUAAUAUCUAAUUCCCAGAAGUCUUCUUCUUUUCCGAAGAAGUAAAUAACACCAUAGUGAACUCAUGGCAAAUAUUUUCCCAAUGCAUUUUCCUUCUGUGUUUAAAUUACAUUUAAUGAUACGCCACUUUCUCUUAUGAACUUGUUUGUCUGCAAACAGAUGUGAUACAUACUGUCAGCAAUGUUAUAUUAACAAAAAGAAAAAAGAAAAAAGAAAUGAGAAACAUAGCAACACAACCUUACCCGAGCACUAUAUAUGCUAUGUAUGUUUCUACAGAGCAGUGUCAUUUAGUCCAAAGUUUCUGCAGAGUGAAACAUGGAAAAGCUGUGGGUUUUCUUAACUUAGGGAACAGUUUACAUUCGUAUCGUAAAGCUGUGUUGUUGUAACAUCGUUCUUGUAAACCAGACUCCCAGUGGUAGGUGUUGUGUAGGCACAGGAGGAAGAGUCCUGGUUGCAUCUGUGAGGACAGUGUUUACCUUCGUGUUUUCUACAGUUUCUGUUGUGAAAUAGUAAAGAAAGGUGGGGAAAAAAAUAGGAAUUAUGAAAUAUUUCUCGAGAUUUUAUUUUGUUUCCACAACUUCUAUCCAAGUUAAAAUGGCUUGGUUUCAACCAAUGGGUCAGAAUUACUCGGCGUUUCGAGCAUUCGUGUUUGCCACAAAAACGUUGUGUUCUCCUAACAGCUAUUUUUCUCUAUGAAAUGCUUUCUUUGAAUUUAGGCCAAGUCAUAAUGAAUGCUGGAGCAAUUAAAGUAUCAGCCACUAUAAGGAGUCUUGGGAGCAGAGGAGACAGACGGGAUCAGGGCUUAAGCUGUGGAAAUACAUUUGUGCGAAAUAAAGGACUGAUAAACCUCUGUUUCAAACAGAAUAGUUUGUGUAUGCUAAGCUCCCAGUACUAAACAUCUCCUUCUGCCCCCUCCUACUAAGCAAAACAAAAUUUAGAUACUCAAACUUUAUAUGUGAAGAAAGAAAGGAAACAGAGUAUUUCUAAUUUUUUGGCAGGUGCUCAUAAAUUUAUGAUAGCAGAAUAAUAACACAGCAUGGACUGGUUAGUGGGAAAGGUGCUGUGAGAAUUUAGAGUAUGACUUUAUAAACUGUCUUAAUUAUUAAAUCUUCAGAUUCCAGGCAGGUUUAAGUUCAUUUCCAUGUGUCAUAAUGUAGAUGUUGUGGGUUUUUAAGCCAAAGUGUUAGUGUCUAGGACUGAAUCAUGCCUUCAUAUUCUGCAAUCAAUUCAGUUGUUUUCAUGUCAUUCUUGUAAUUGUUGCCUUCUUUCUGGGGGGGCAGGGUGGAGGAGGGGGUAGGGGGGGAAACAGAAAAGUCUUUUAAAAUAUUUUUCAUUAGCACAUAGUAUUAAGUGGGUAAGCACCCUAAGUAUAUUAUAAUUUAAUUUAGAUUUCACAGCAGAAUUUUCCCCAUGCUAAUUACAUGCCAGUUUGUUAUUAAGAAAAUAUUUAUUGAAGUUGAACUCAGUGAUAGAUACAUAUCUAUCAGAUCACUGUUAAACCUCAUUAAAUAGUGUUUUAAUUGCAAUUUGUUUUUAAUUACUGCUCAUUAAGCAUAUUAUUAAACCUAAAUUGCACACUUACGAAAGACUGGUUUGCAAAUAUAGAUGGCUGAGUCUCUUAAUCACAGAUUUAUAGAAUGGCUUGGGAUGGAAAGAACCUUAAAGACAGAAGUCUUCAGGGGUCCUCCAGCAGACAAACUAUUAACGUGACAGCAAACCUCCACCUAUCUGUGCAGUGUAUAUAUGACUGCUGUACUCAACUCCCCACCAAAGACAUCUAAAAAUCUUCCCUGUGAGGGAAACAGGCAUGGUUAGGAUAUAAGGGAAAGUCCCGGAGGGUGCAGAGGAGAGGCGGGAAGAGACACGAAGGAGGCAAGAGAAACGGAGAAGCUGUGCUGCUCUUUCCCCAGGGUCAUCUGACUUGUCCGUCUUCUCGUCUCGCCGUGUUCCCUGUCGGAUCGACUCGCUACUGCUGCUCCCGACUGCGCGCAAGGCUUCAGUACUAGCGUAAGGCCUUUGGCUCUCGGACAAUCUUUCUCUCAAUUAUUGUUGAUUUAUACUGUAUUAUAGUGUGUUAUCUUACAUUCCGAUACUAUAUUUAGUAAAUUAGUUUGUUUCUCCUCAGAUCGUUGCCGCUGUUUUUAAUUAUUUUGGGGUCCCCUGUUUCCCUUCCUGGAGGCGCGGAUUUUGCGAAAUCCCUCCGCCCCACUAGUCGCAGAACCGGGCCGGACCAGCCCUUAAACCGUUGACAGCAGCCAUCCAGAGGGAUAUUAAAGUUCACAGCCCUCAGCAGGAGAACACACUCCAAUAAGGACGUGCUAGAAACACAGGACUGAUGCUCAUGACUCUCCACCCAAGACAUGGUAGAAGUCACCCGGAAAGGGAACAGAUAAGGUUAGGAUGUCGGGGUAAGUCCCGGAGGGUGCAGAGGAGGGGCGGGAAGAGACACGAAGGAGGCAAGAGAAACGGAGAAGCUGUGCUGCUCUUUCCCCACCAGGACCAGGACGGGGAUCCCUUCUUGGCAAGCACUGCCCCUUCACUGCUUGCUGAAAAAUACCCAGCACAGCAUUUACUUUGCUAGCACUACUAUCAAAUGCCGGCACGGUCACAGCUACUGCACUGAUCAACGGCAACACCAAAGCUGCUCUACUGCUUGCUUCAAGAAAUCCUUUAUUUGUCACUGCUUGGGAAAACGUCCCAGUGAAAGUCCUCGGGUGCACUCUGGCAGGCAAAUGCCCCAAAUACUGACGCAAUAGCCACGGGGCAGCAAACCUCCACCUAUGCGUGUGCUUCGUGAUGGCACCGGAGAGUCACAGUCACCCCGUGACCUCACAGUGGGCCGCGUUCCUACCCAUCCCCAGCGGGCCCAGCCCGCGCUGAGUCUUGCUGGCGACUCUCGAGGUGCGAACGUCUUCCUGUGGGAGCACGAGCCACUGAGACCUUGCCAGUGCGUGUGACAGCAGAGUCCUGCGAGAGGACUGCGAGUGGAGGCGCGGAGGCUGCUGACUGCUCUGCAAGAGGCAGCCUCCAGCAAAUCCACCCUUGAUUGGAGCCAGGGCAGCCGCAGCCAUGAGCCGGGAGGCGGCUGCCAACAGGAGGCGGGAGGCGUGGGCAUGGCCGCCGGAGGCCCACGAGGAGCCGUGCCCCAUCUGCCUGGGCCCGAUGGCCGACGCCGUCCGCGCACUCCCUUGCAGGCACAUCUUCUGCAGGGAGUGCAUCCAGCGUUGGACCUCCAACAGGUCCGACUGCCCCCUGUGCCGCCAGUACGUCGGCACCCUGUUGCGCCUGGGCUGGCGCCCCUCGG
ensembl:lncRNA